AACUAACGCAUUUUUUGUUACAGUUUCUGUACUUUAUUGGUAUGAGAAACUUCCAGAACAUUCAUUGUUCUAGGUAAAUUUUGAAACAAAAGCCUUCGGGC
rnacentral:misc_RNA from 1 species